rnacentral:tRNA from 2 species
CUGCCCGUAGCACAAUGGCUAAUGCAUCUGAUUCCGAUUCAGAAGACUGGAGGUUCGACCCCUCUCGGGCAGACCA